rnacentral:rRNA from 1 species
UACAGAGGGUGCAAGCGUUGUUCGGAAUUAUUGGGCGUAAAGGGCGCGUAGGCGGUGCGGUAAGUCCGUAGUGAAAUCUCUGGGCUCAACUCAGAGUCUGCUGUGGAAACUGCCGUGCUUGAGUGUGGGAGAGGUGAGUGGAAUUCCCGGUGUAGCGGUGAAAUGCGUAGAUAUCGGGAAGAACACCCGUGGCGAAGGCGGCUCUCUGGGACGGUACUGACGCUGAGACGCGAAAGCGUGGGGAGCGAACAGG